AAGGUUAUGCUUGUAGAGAUCAUUUUUCUAGUUGUUGACUGGGGAAGAGUGGUUGUAAAAGCUUGGCCUUGCUAGCCAUGAUGAAGAACUGUAGUGUUUUUUUCUGUGCAUGAUGAUGGCAGUGAGUUUUGUUCUGUGACACCUGCUUUCUAAUCUAGAAGAGUGCCCUGCUCUUCCUGAUAAGAGCAGGGGAAGGAAACACAGUCUGAGUGGU